CAGCAGCCGCGGUAAUACGUAGGGUGCGAGCGUCAAUCGGAAUUACUGGGCGUAAAGCGUGCGCAGGCGGUUGUGUAAGACAGGUGUGAAAUCCCCGGGCUUAACCUGGGAACUGCGCUUGUGACUGCACAGCUAGAGUAUGGCAGAGGGGGGUGGAAUUCCACGUGUAGCAGUGAAAUGCGUAGAGAUGUGGAGGAACACCGAUGGCGAAGGCAGCCCCCUGGGCCAAUACUGACGCUCAUGCACGAAAGCGUGGGGAGCAAACAGGAUUAGAUACCCCAGUAGUCCCUGUCUCUUAUAC
rnacentral:rRNA from 1 species